rnacentral:rRNA from 1 species
UACGAAGGGGGGCUAGCGUUGUUCGGAAUUACUGGGCGUAAAGCGCACGUAGGCGGAUAUUUAAGUCAGGGGUGAAAUCCCGGGGCUCAACCCCGGAACUGCCUUUGAAACUGGAGAGCUAGAAUCUUGGAGAGGCGAGUGGAAUUCCGAGUGUAGAGGUGAAAUUCGUAGAUAUUCGGAAGAACACCAGUGGCGAAGGCGACUCGCUGGACAAGUAUUGACGCUGAGGCGCGAAAGCGUGGGGAGCAAACAGG